UUGGGUACCUGCCCCAGCCUGCUCCUAGGGACACAUCUGGUGUCCACCCACAGAUGGAGAAACUGUUCAGAGCUAAGUGACUCCUCCUUCCAGGUGAUGCCCAAGCCCAGUCCCAUGAGUUGAAGACAAUCAUAUGCACUUGAUGGUUCAAAUCACAGGAGCUCUGCAGAUUCCCUGUGCUCUGCAUUUAAGGUGGCAGAGAUGCAGAAUGGAUAAACACAAUGGAUUCAGAGAGCAUCACUGCAAUGGAGUGAACCACCAAACACACCCAAGGAUAUCAUGUCUUUGCAAAGGGAAAAGAACACUCUCCUCUUUCAUGCUCCAUAUAAUGAGUAAUGGUGAUCAGGAUCUGAAGAUGAUCUUUACCCAUUGCCAAUUUUAAGAAGGUUUCAGGCAAAGCAUUGUGUAUUUAAGAAAUGUGAAUAUACUGUGGUUUUCAAGCAGACAGAGGAACACCCUUAAAAGAGAUUUAAACAAUUUGA